GCCUUCUUAGCUCAGUGGUAGAGCGUUGGUCUCGUAUUGAAUUACAGUCGACCAAAGGCCGAGAGUUCAAUCCUCUCAGGAGGCA
rnacentral:tRNA from 1 species